CAGUCGCCGCGGGAAUACGUAGGUGGCAAGCGUUGUCCGGAAUUAUUGGGCGUAAAGGGCUCGCAGGCGGUUUCUUAAGUCUGAUGUAAAAGCCCCCGGCUCAACCGGGGAGGGUCAUUGGAAACUGGGAAACUUGAGUGCAGAAGAGGAGAGUGGAGUUCCACGUGUAGCGGUGAAAUGCGUAGAGAUGUGGAGGAACACCAGUGGCGAAGGCGACUCUCUGGUCUGUAACUGACGCUGAGGAGCGAAAGCGUGGGGAGCGAACAGGAUUAGAUACCCCCGUAGUCCCUGUCUCUUAUAC
rnacentral:rRNA from 1 species